UUCUCCUGGUGUGAGGGUGCUGCGGAAGGAU
rnacentral:rRNA from 1 species